rnacentral:snoRNA from 1 species
AUUCCGUGAUGAGGGCACUUUCGUAAUAAUUCUUUGUAUCUUUCUCAUGCCUCAUACAAGGACUCAUCAUCCAUUUGUUGGAAAGAAGUGAUAUCGUUCCUUACCUU